rnacentral:sRNA from 1 species
CUGCGCAAAAUUUUCACAAAUGCCAUACAAAGGUUGUCACCUUUUGGGGGCGGCAACAUUUUUUUUGCAGUUCUUGCGCUUAGUCAGUUUACUUACUACAAGUAAUGGGUACUAUGUACGCCGGCCAGUUUCUCUUUUCCGAGAGA